rnacentral:lncRNA from 1 species
AUGAAGCUGGAGGAGGGCAAAUACCUCAUCCUCAAGGACCCCAACAAGCAGGUCAUCCGUGUCUACAGCCUCCCUGAUGGCACCUUCAGCUCUGAUGAAGAUGAGGAGGAAGAGGAGGAGGAAGAAGAGGAAGAAGAAGCUGGUGACUGAAGGAAAUACCUGCCCAGCCCUGUGAGCAUCUGAAAGGCUUAACUUCGGAAUGGAAGUGUUGAAAACUCACGCACAGUCCAGCAGAGGUUCAGAAAGGAAAGUGAACAUCAUAUCACACAACCUGGCUCAUUUCUCUUACAUUUUUUGUGUCUUUCAGAGGAAGAAACUUAAACCAGUGAUGUGGAGCUGGAGUUUGUCCUUCCACCGAGACUACGAGGGCCUUUGAUGCUUAGUGGAAUGUGUGUCUAACUUGCUCUCUGACAUUUAGCAGAUGAAAUAAAAUAUAUAUCUGUUUAGUCUUU